UUCAUAUUAUAAGGUAUUAUGUUGAUUUGUAUGUCCAAUAAGAUUGUUCUUAUCAGCUAACUUAAUUUAUAUGUUAACAUAUUAAUUACAUCGCUAAUUAAAUUGUUAUCGAUAAAGCCGAACCCACAAAAUGUGACAAUUUUUGCCGUCCACGAUUCCUCUGUUUGAUCGCGGCAGCUCCACCGUCCUCAUCUUCAUCUCAUCAGUCCACCAACCCGUAUCAUCUAAUUUCACAACACAAACAAUUUUUCCGUCGUACCUACCGACCGUUGUAAUCACCAUCACCACUGACAUAUAUCAUCGCCACACGGCCCACACCACCAACAGAACCAUCACCACCACCAACAGAAUCAUCACCACCAAUAGAAUCGUCACCACCAUCACCGAGAUUCACACUAUCGCUCGUUGGUUAAUGAAAUAUGCUACAAAAGUAGCCAGAGCUUCAUUCACAUGAGUUCCACACUUCUUCUUAGUCAGAGAUGAUGACCAUGGUCGUUGUUGUUUAUCCUAAUAGUCUCGUCGCUUUCCGACAUUAGUUGACAGAGCGAGAGAAGAAGUAAAGAAAAAUAUAAAGAGAAGUUUGUUAGAAGUAUAAACUGAUAUCAAUGUGGACUCUCCUUCAACUAUUGAUGAGAAUUCUCAGAUUACAACUCUCAUCUCUGAUAUCAAUGUGGACGCUCCUCGACCCAUUGUUGAGAAUUCUCAUAAUAGAACUCUCAUUUCUGAUAUCGAUGAGAGGGAAACCGUCUAAAACCAGCCUGAUCCGACUGAGACAGAUCAGGUGGAUGAUAUUGCUU